rnacentral:misc_RNA from 1 species
GCUUAAACUUCAUUGAGGAAAAUGUAAGUUUUCAGUGUCAGAAAGGAGUAGAAAGUUUAUAAAGGAACAAAGAAUACUAGAAACUUUUAUUAAUUUAAGUUCUGAAUCGGAUUAACCCAAAGACUAAAAUUUACAUAUAUAUAUAUAAUUGAGGCAAAAAGAAAGAGAACCUGUCAUCAACGAAAAUACAACUUGUUGGAUCAACAUUAAGAUGUCUCAGCACUUCCAGAUAGAAAUCAAGAUCAGGCUUCCUCUUUCCUAAAAUAUAAAGUGGAUCUUCAUCAUUAAAAUCAGUUCAACACUAUUUACAAUCACCAUUUAAAGCAUAAAUCAGCAGAAAUAUAACCAUAUAAUAAGAAUAACAACAACAACAACCAAAACAAAGAAAAUAAAUAACUGAAGGGGAAAAGAAAAUAAGACCUUAUCUUGGUAGCCUAUUGAAAUGAUGCCGCAAAAGAGGGCAGAAGAUCAACAAUCUUCCAAAAUCAGCAUAUACUUCCCAAAACAUGCGCUCGUACCCAUGUCAUGGGGAAAUAGGUCAUGGUUUUUUU